UGCUGCUGUCCGUCUUCAGUCGUGCUGCACUUGCUGCUGCUGCUCUUUGUCAGCAGCAGCGUCUUCUUCGGCAACCUUUGGAGGAGGAGGAGGAGGAGGAGGACAGUGCAGGGCCUCCUGCCUCUUGCCCCACAGCAGAAGGUGGAUUGGAAUUCAGUUUCAGUGAUGGCAUGGCAUGGUAUGGUAUGGUGUCCGUACGACGUACCUUCCGAGGUAGAGCUGCUCGUGCAGGAUGGAGAAGUCGAUGACGGAGACGAUGAUCUGCACCACCGGUAUGAAGGCGGCAACGAACACGGCCCCCCUCUUCUCGAUGCACCAUGUCACCAGCACGAACGAGACGCCGCAGCCGACGAUGCCCUGAGGAAGGAGAGCAAAGCAAGCAGGUAUACAGCGUAUAGGACGGUGAGGAUGUUGAACUUGCUGGUGAUGAUCCAGGGUGAGAUGCUGCGCUGGGUG